UACGUAGGGGGCAAGCGUUGUCCGGAUUUAUUGGGCGUAAAGAGCGUGUAGGCGGUCCGGUAAGUCGGCUGUGAAAGUCCAGGGCUCAACCCUGGGAUGCCGGUCGAUACUGCAGGACUAGAGUUCGGAAGAGGCGAGUGGAAUUCCCGGUGUAGCGGUGGAAUGCGCAGAUAUCGGGAGGAACACCUAUGGCGAAGGCAGCUCGCUGGGACGUUACUGACGCUGAGACGCGAAAGCGUGGGGAGCAAACAGG
rnacentral:rRNA from 1 species